rnacentral:rRNA from 1 species
CGCGUAGGCGGGAUGGCAAGUCGGUCGUGAAAUCCUUCGGCUCAACCGAAGAACGUCGGCCGAUACUGCCGUUCUUGAGGGAUGCAGAGGAGACUGGAAUUCCCGGUGUAACGGUGAAAUGUGUAGAGAUCGGGAGGAACACCGGUGGCGAAGGCGGGUCUCUGGGCAUCUCCUGACGCUGAGGCGCGAAAGCGUGGGGAGCAAACGGGAUUAGAUACCCCGGUAGUCCACGCCAUAAACGAUGACGACUAGGUGUGGGGUGGUUCAGUCCACUCCGUGCCGCAGCUAACGCAUUAAGUCGUCCGCCUGGGGAGUACGGCCGCAAGGUUGAA